GCUGGCCUUGAACUCAGAUCCGCCUGCCUCUGCCUCCUGAGUACUGACUGGGAUUAAAGGUGUGCACCAUCACAGCCAGGUUCCCCACUUUAACUGAACUUGUAACUUGCUGAUUUGGUGAGGCUGACCAGCCAGCAAGCCCUGGGAAUCCACUGGUCUCCACCUCCCCAGCACCGGGGUUACAGGCGCGUGCCAGGCUGGUGUGUGGCACGGGGACCCAAACUUGGGUCUCCCUGCUGCACAAGCAUUUCACUGAUAGACCCGGCUCCCAGCCCUGCCCAUUCUUCUCUCCUCCUUUCUCUUCCUCUCUAUUCCCUCUCCUCUGCACUCCCUCCCUCCCUCCCUCCCUUCUCCCUCAGCUCUCAACCCCAAGGGCCUCUAAGUGGACUCCUCUCCUGGUGCUGGGAGGUUCCCAGACUCUGGGAGGGAGGUGGACCACCAGUGGCCACAAAAGGUCAUGGCAGGAAGCUGACUACCUGGAGCAUGGCUACCAAGCCAGAGUCCAGGUGUGGGGCAGGGUCUUUGUGACACUCCUUUUUUCUGUCUGUCCUGGACGCUGGACAUUUCCUGGAGGAACCAGACCCUGAAGGUGGGAAGCAAAGAAUCAGCUCAGAGCGAGGAGAGCUGCCCACAGACACGGCCCUCCACCCUCUUCAGGCAUCAGCAACGGAAGGCCUCAGCUGACUUCAGUUUUCCAGAUGAAAACAUCUGUGCAACACCUGCAGGACACUGAAGACCAGCAGCUGUUAGGACAGAGGCUUCUUAGGACUCACCUGCCUGAAGGACCAACACUGCUCAACACAGCAGAUCGUGUGUGUGUGUGUGUGUGUGUGUGUGUGUGUGUGUGUGUGUGUGUGUAGCUAAUGGGACUGUCACCACCUCCUGGCACAGAGUGAAACUGCAACCAGCUGGAUUAGGCACUGAAAUUUGUCCCCAAUAAAGGACAGUUGGGGUGAGGGAAGCUGUGGAGGAAGGGAUAUGGAAAAUUCUGUAAAAAUGAACACUUUUACUCCUAAUACAGAAACACUGACAGCAAGUGUUUGUCUGA